rnacentral:rRNA from 1 species
UAGGGAAUCUUCGGCAAUGGACGGAAGUCUGACCGAGCAACGCCGCGUGAGUGAAGAAGGUUUUCGGAUCGUAAAGCUCUGUUGUAAGAGAAGAACGAGUGUGAGAGUGGAAAGUUCACACUGUGACGGUAUCUUACCAGAAAGGGACGGCUAACUACGUGCCAGCAGCCGCGGUAAUACGUAGGUCCCGAGCGUUGUCCGGAUUUAUUGGGCGUAAAGCGAGCGCAGGCGGUUAGAUAAGUCUGAAGUUAAAGGCUGUGGCUUAACCAUAGUAGGCUUUGGAAACUGUUUAACUUGAGUGCAAGAGGGGAGAGUGGAAUUCCAUGUGUAGCGGUGAAAUGCGUAGAUAUAUGGAGGAACACCGGUGGCGAAAGCGGCUCUCUGGCUUGUAACUGACGCUGAGGCUCGAAAGCGUGGGGAGCAAACAGGAUUAGAUACCCUGGUAGCCCACGCUGUAAACGAUGAGUGCUAGGUGUUAGACCCUUUCCGGGGUUUAGUGCCGUAGCUAACGCAUUAAGCACUCCGCCUGGGGAGUACGACCGCAAGGUUG